ensembl:lncRNA
CAGAUAGCAUGUACUGAAUACUUCAGAAAGGUCUGAAUUCAGAUAGCAUGUACUGAAUACUUCAGAAAGGUCUGAAUUCAGAUAGCAUGUACUGAAUACUUCAGAAAGUCUGCACUUUCUACAUUUUGUGUAUAGCCCGAAAUUAAAAUGGAUUACAUUUAGAUUGUGUCGCUGAUCCACACACACAAUAGCCCAUGAUGUUAAAGUGGAAUUAUGUUUUUAGAAAAGUUAAUUAAAAAUGGAAAGCUGAAAUGUAUGUACAUGCCUUUUAUAAUAAUCUAAGUAAUAAUUGUUGGCUCCAGUCUAUUCAGUGAAUCAAUCCUUUAGAGACUUAUCUUAUGGUCAUC